UACGUAGGGUGCAAGCGUUGUCCGGAAUUAUUGGGCGUAAAGAGCUCGUAGGCGGCUUGUCGCGUCGGCUGUGAAAACCUGGGGCUCAACCCCGGGCCUGCAGCCGAUACGGGCAAGCUAGAAUUCGGUAGGGGAGACUGGAAUUCCUGGUGCAGCGGUGAAAUGCGCAGAUAUCAGGAGGAACACCGGUGGCGAAGGCGGGUCUCUGGGCCGAUAUUGACGCUGAGGAGCGAAAGCGUGGGGAGCGAACAGG
rnacentral:rRNA from 1 species